rnacentral:rRNA from 1 species
UGGGGAAUCUUGGACAAUGGGGGCAACCCUGAUCCAGCGACGCCGCGUGGGUGGUAAGGCCUUCGGGUUGUAAAGCCCUUUCACCGGGGAAGAUGAUGACAUUACCCGGAGAAGAAGCGCCGGCUAACUCCGUGCCAGCAGCCGCGGUAAGACGGAGGGCGCUAGCGUUGUUCGGAAUCACUGGGCGUAAAGGGCGCGUAGGCGGCUGUUUAAGUCGAGGGUGCAAGCGCGGGGGUCAACGCCGGAACGGCCUACGAGACUGGGGAGCUCGAGACCGGAAGAGGAGGGUGGAAUACCCAGUGUAGAGGGGAAAUUCGUAGAUAUUGGGUUGAACACCAGUGGCGAAGGCGGCUCUCUGGUCCGGAUCUGACGCUGAGGCGCGAAAGCGUGGGGAGCAAACAGGAUUAGAUACCCCUGUAGUCC